UGCGGUCGGCUGCGGUCCUGCCCGGCUCGGAGGAACGGCCGGCGCGGGGCUCCGCGGGCGCGCGUUUCACCGACGGAAGCGCGCAGGCCGCGGGGCAGAGCCGGCCCCGCCACGACCGGGGCGUGCGCUCGCUGGGGCUAAUUAGGUGGUCGCGGCUGCCGCUGCGGCAGGGACUAAAACGUCUCGGCAAAUCCUUCCUGAGGGGUGGGGAACCGGGCAGUGGUGUGUUAUAACGUUGCCAGCGGGUGGUGGAAAAAUACAACGACAGGACAACUCUGGCUCCUUCUGUUCUUUCUGCUUCACCCUGUGUUGCCCAUCGUUCACAAGUUGUUGCACUUGUGGGAGUUUCUACCACCAGGAUGGCGGGGCCUUGCAUGGUGGCUGCAAUGCCAGGGAAGAAGUGCCAUCUCCAUUGUGUAAAAUAGUCAGAAAAUGGGAACUGUAUAUUGGGCACAAGCUAAAUGACAGGAGACAAGGCUGUGGUGGAGUAAACCAUGGACAGCGCUGGCUACCAGCUCAGGACGGGGCAUGGAGGGCUCCCUGGUGAACAGAACUUACAGAUCGUAAUACUUCCACCCUGGCUGACUUCAAACUGCCAGUAUGAUACCUUGAAUGGGGAGCUGGGAAGAGAGGUGCACAACUGGCUCCAGAGACCACGCAAGCCUGCUCCAGCACACCUGCUCCGGCACACCGCUGAAUCCACGCCAAGGGUCAAGAGUCAUGAAACAGCACAGUGUGUUUGGGGUACUACAAGGUGAUAAGAUCUGCUGGAGCACAAGGAACAAGCGCCCUUACUGUCUAGAAAGCCGAGCUCCUCUGCUCAGCUCAUCGGAACAUUCCUUCUAUCUUAAAGAAUGAGACGUUGCUGUAGUCUAGAAUCACAAAUAAACUCUUUUUAAGAUCUUUAA